rnacentral:rRNA from 1 species
UACAGAGGGGGCGAGCGUUGUUCGGAAUUACUGGGCGUAAAGGGCGCGUAGGCGGCUUGGUCAGUCCCGUGUGAAAUCCCUCGGCUCAACUGAGGAACUGCACGGGAAACUGCCUGGCUUGAGUUCGGGAGAGGUGAGUGGAACUGCGAGUGUAGAGGUGAAAUUCGUAGAUAUUCGCAAGAACACCAGUGGCGAAGGCGGCUCACUGGCCCGAUACUGACGCUGAGGUGCGAAAGCGUGGGGAGCAAACAGG